AAGUCGUAACAAGGUUUCUGUAGGUGACCUUGCGGAAGGAUCAUUAAAAAAAUAAGGUAUUUUUAUACCUCUUGUAUUUAAAACCCAACUCUAAAAAUAUAAAUUUUUUUUUUUAAAAAAAAAAAAAACUUUCAACAAUGGAUCUCUUGGCUCUU
rnacentral:misc_RNA from 1 species